GAGGUGGGCAAGUUAGUUGCUCCAAAAACAAGAUAAAGUGAUUGAGUUAUUUUCUCAAGCGGGAGUCGGAGUUUAUCUGCUCUGAGAGCCCCAGCAGCUACUAUUAAUAAGUGUCUGGAAUAUGUUCCUGGCAUUUCACCUACCCUCUCUCCAAUCCUUCCAAGAAACUCACAAAGCAGGGCUUUUUCUUGAACUUCUCUUCCUCACAACAGUUAAAUCAUCCAUUUAAAGAUGUCAGACAACCUCCGUGUUCUAAGAUGCUGGACCCCUGAAUAUGGAGGGCCAACUACACUAGAAACACACACACUAGCUGAGAAAGAUGGUGGCUUAAGGGACACAGCAUGUACAACCUCACAUAGAGUUCCUGACCAGACAAGACUUGCUGGAAAUUUCCCAGAAUCUUCCUUCCUUAAGCAUCCAUCAUGGGAAGCCACCUUGCCCUAGGGAGAGCUCCUGACCUAGGGUCAGGAAUAUAUUAAGGAAGACAGCAAUUAAUAAAUUCAAAAAUAAUAAUAAUUACAAAUUAUGUCUCUGUGUUAGGAAAACUUGGAUAAGCAGGUCCAUAGAAAUUCCUCUGCUAGCCCUGUCUCCUGGAAUUUCUACAUAAUGGCAUAUCCUCAGCUUGAAUAGCUCUCUGGUUCCAGUUUGAAGCUGAAAAGGUUAAAUUCUACCUGAAAGAUGAAAACAACCAACAUUCUGUGCCA
rnacentral:antisense_RNA from 1 species